rnacentral:rRNA from 1 species
CCUACGGGUGGCUGCAGUGGGGAAUAUUGGACAAUGGGCGAAAGCCUGAUCCAGCCAUGCCGCGUGUGUGAAGAAGGCCUUCGGGUUGUAAAGCACUUUCAGUGGGGAAGAAAGCCUUGGGGCUAAUACCCUCGAGGAAGGACAUCACCCACAGAAGAAGCACCGGCUAACUCCGUGCCAGCAGCCGCGGUAAUACGGAGGGUGCGAGCGUUAAUCGGAAUUACUGGGCGUAAAGCGCGCGUAGGCGGUCUGAUAAGCCGGUUGUGAAAGCCCCGGGCUCAACCUGGGAACGGCAUCCGGAACUGUCAGGCUAGAGUGCAGGAGAGGAAGGUAGAAUUCCCGGUGUAGCGGUGAAAUGCGUAGAGAUCGGGAGGAAUACCAGUGGCGAAGGCGGUCUUCUGGACUGACACUGACGCUGAGGUGCGAAAGCGUGGGUAGCAAACAGGAUUAGAUACCCGAGUAGUC